AAGGCUCAGCUAUGAUCUUGCCUUGACCUGUCUAGACUCCUCAUUUCACUCCUAAAAAUGAAGUCCUUGUCUCAGAUCCUGUGGCUGUUAAUGCUCUGGAUCCAUGUAUCCAGUGGAGAUGUUGUGAUGACCCAGACUCCAAGGUCCUUGCCUGUCACCCUGGGAGAGCCAGCCUCCAUCUCCUGCAGGUCUAGUCAGAGCCUUCUCUAUAGCAAUGGAAACACCUAUUUGAACUGGUUCUUGCAGAAGCCAGGCCAGUCUCCACAUCGCCUGAUCUAUUUGGUUUCCAAACGAGACUCUGGGGUCUCAGACAGAUUCAGUGGCAGUGGGUCAAGCACAGAUUUCACACUGACAAUUAGCAGGGUGGAAGCUGAGGAUGUUGGAGUUUAUUACUGCAUGCAAGCUACACAUCUUCCUCCCACAGUGAUACAGCCUUGAACAAAAACCUCCCAUCUGGCUGGGUGAGCUGUCCUCAUGGCUGGCUGGUCUGGGGAGCAGCCC